CGCGGGGUGGAGCAGUGGUAGCUCGUCAGGCUCAUAACCUGAAGGUCGCACGUUCGAGUCGUGUCUCCGCAA
rnacentral:tRNA from 1 species